GAUGAACGCUGGCGGCGCGCCUAAUACAUGCAAGUCGAGCGAACAGACGAGGAGCUUGCUCCUCUAACGUUAGCGGCGGACGGGUGAGUAACACGUGGAUAACCUACCUAUAAGACUGGGAUAACUUCGGGAAACCGGAGCUAAUACCGGAUAAUAUAUUGAACCGCAUGGUUCAAUAGUGAAAGACGGUUUUGCUGUCACUUAUAGAUGGAUCCGCGCCGCAUUAGCUAGUUGGUAAGGUAACAGCUUACCAAGGCAACGAUGCGUAGCCGGCCUGGGAGGGUGAUCAGCCACACUGGAACUGAGACACGGUCCAGACUCCUACGGGAGGCAGCAGUAGGGAAUCUUCCACAAUGGGCGAAAGCCUGACGGAGCAACGCCGCGUGAGUGAUGAAGGUCUUCGGAUCGUAAAACUCUGUUAUUAGGGAAGAACAAAUGUGUAAGUAACUAUGCACGUCUUGACGGUACCUAAUCAGAAAGCCACGGCUAACUACGUGCCAGCCGCCGCAGUAA
rnacentral:rRNA from 1 species